rnacentral:rRNA from 1 species
UGGGGAAUUUUGGACAAUGGGGGAAACCCUGAUCCAGCCAUCCCGCGUGUGCGAUGAAGGCCUUCGGGUUGUAAAGCACUUUUGGCAGGAAAGAAACGUCAUGGGUUAAUACCCCGUGAAACUGACGGUACCUGCAGAAUAAGCACCGGCUAACUACGUGCCAGCAGCCGCGGUAAUACGUAGGGUGCAAGCGUUAAUUGGAAUUACUGGGCGUAAAGCGUGCGCAGGCGGUUCGGAAAGAAAGAUGUGAAAUCCCAGAGCUCAACUUUGGAACUGCAUUUUUAACUACCGGGCUAGAGUGUGUCAGAGGGAGGUGGAAUUCCGCGUGUAGCAGUGAAAUGCGUAGAUAUGCGGAGGAACACCGAUGGCGAAGGCAGCCUCCUGGGAUAACACUGACGCUCAUGCUCGAAAGCGUGGGGAGCAAACAGG